CCCGCUCCCCGCCUCCGCCGCCAUCUUGGGAGAGGCAAGUGGGGCAGCCCUGAGCGCAGAGGCCCUUGGCUCGGCGGGGAGCGGGAGUAUUUCUCGCCCCUUUGUUGUCACCGCAGAGAUCGGUUGAGAGCUCUUGCGUGCGGAGCCGGCCCCAGGCUGUGAUGCCGUACAGAAGUGUUGGCCGGAGUGGAUGGAGGGUCAAUAUUCGGGGCCUUGCUGGACUGUUUCCCAUGGAAGGAGGAUCUGAAGAUAUGAGUCAGGUCUAUUCUGUGCUGCAAGCCUGUUUAUUUACAAGGGACGCACGCUUGGUCCUGCUUCCUUGAAUGCAGAAGGAACAGACAACAGCAGGCAGUUUCCUCAUUCCCAGUUUCCACGCCUGCCUCUCCAGCUUGUCCUGUGCCCCAAGGAGCUCUCUUCCCUCUUGGACGAUGCUCACUACGGUUUAUCUUGCCGGCUACUGGCUCACAUGCAGCUGCAACCAAUCAACCCCCCUCUCCCCAUCCCUUGUUUUUGCAUUCAGUCUCAGGGAAACCCCUAUGCCCACAUGGAAUAGCUCCACUUAUCUUUGCCAUGCAGCCAAUUGCUUUGGGCGGUGGCUUCUCUAAUUUCUGGCUAUCUCACUCCAUAAAGGGGCUUAAUUGCUCCUUCCAUUUAUCCUGAAAGAAGCAUGGUUAAUGUGCCCAUCAGCUUGAACUAUUGUCUGUGAUUGUCUGUAGAUCAAAGUCCCCCUUUUAUGGAAGCCAUUCAGACCUUUCAGCAUAACAGAAGUUCCCCUGGGGGAUCCAGGAGAAGAACUCAGGUGAAGUAUGGGAUACCAGGAAAGGAAUUGUGGGAGUUUGUGAAUCUGACCCCUCCAAGUCCCAGAAUUCCAGUAAGGAUCCCACAGAGUUGUGUGAGAGAAACCCCAGAACGUACUGAGUAGCCUGGUGGCAGAAUGUUGCACCCUGGGAGAUCUGUGCAGUUAUUUUGGAAUAGCGCAGAGCUGUGUGGCUGCAAUGACUCACAAGGGAAGUCGCCGAAGCUUGGCUUAACCAAAGUAGAGAGGACACACUGUUUCGGGAGCGUUAUACCGGUAUAAUCACAGCAGAAAAACCUAGAGUGGAAAAACUUUCCCUUGCAGAUAAGCCCUCAGCCCCAUGUGCAGUCCGUGUGCCAGUGAUAUUUCCAGUUGGAACAGCAGACGGUAACACGCUGUCUUGCUGGAGAAGCAGUUUAAACUUUUCCUCUGAGCUGAAAGCGUCUGACAUGGUAAGAUCCUCUAAGCAAAGGGGCCCUAAGGAAAGAGUCCAGUAGAUGGAGACAUCUGCUCAGCGUGCAAAGCCAAAAAGGUUAGAAAACAGCAGGCACUGAUUAGAAUUUUCCCCAGCAUCUGGGGUCUCUCUGCUUGGUGGCUGGGCUUACUAUGUACUUCUCCUGCUGCUGUGCCGAGAGCCCAGCUGCUAAGGUGGGGUUAGCUGAGGCCCCAGUAGCAGUGGGUCACAGAGUCAACACCCCAUUGAGAUGCAAGGUGCAGUUUACUCCUCUCAGAACAAGGGGCUCAGGCUCUCUGCAGACUCAGGCAGUGUCGCUGAGUCAAUUACACAGUCACGUUUUCAAGCUUUUCUUUGCAGACAUAAGGGCUACAAACUAACAACAACAACAAAAAAGCUGAAAUUCUGAUGUCACAGGCAGAGCUGGAUGGGAAACAGUGUUUCCAUCCUGGAAAAGUUUUCAAGAUAUCAAAAGACAACAUUUCCAUCCCAAACUGGCCCGAAAAAUCAGACCCUCAAAUUUUCACCAGCCAAAAAAAUCUGAAAUAAAAGCUCAGGGUGAGUCAAGCAAAACACUCCGUUGAGAUGAGCGAGCAACAGUUUGUUUCAAUUGUGACCAUUUAAAAAAAAAAAAAAGACCACACGGGGCUUAAAGUUUGAAGCAAAAAACCAUUCUGAAACCGGAUGUUUCCUUUGGAGAAAUCGCAAAACAAAAGUUUUUGACAAUUUUGCAACUUUGUUUUUGUUCAGAAAAAAAUGGAGGGGGGGGGGUUGAAAAAUUUAUGAAAACCGAAACUUUGCUGUGAAAAGCUUCAGUUUGGCCAAAUCAGCAUUUUCAGAGGGGAAAAAAAAUUCAACACCAAAUUCUCCACCACCUGUAGUCAUGGGAGCCAGGUGCCUUAGCCCAGCCCUGCGUUCAAUUCUAAGAUGAAAUUCCCCCCUGUAUAGAAGACCAGGGGCAGGAAGUCAGACCCUCUGCUAUUGUAUCUUUCCCCGCUAGAGGGCCUAAUAGACCCGCUGUCCGCAAAAAGCCUAGAGACUUUUCCAGGGGCUGCAUGUUUCGCUGAGUUUCUUGGGGGGCAGGGGGGAACUAAUCUAAAAAUAGAUUUACACACACACACCCCACGCAUCUCCUGCGGCCCAAGUGGUGUGAAAAUUCACAUCAGACACAUACACACAACACCACCUACACACAGAGAGCAUCUAGCCUAUACAUAUGCCAAAAACACACACACAGCGUCUAGCUUAUACAUACACCAAAGACGGACACACACACACACACACACACAGAGCGCAUCGAGAGUAUAUAUUCAUCAGACUCAUACACACAGCACCAUUUGUAAACACACACAUACACACACACACACACACACUGUCUACGGCCUAGGCUAUACAUUCACCAGACACAUACACACCACCUACAAACACACACUCACACAGCAUGUAGGUUGUACACACACCCCUCCCCGUUAAAUUCACAUGUAGAGCCCAUGUAUCCCGCAUACCAACAACAUUCACAUGCCUCCUGCAGUGGAUAGAGCUUCUCAGCCCAGGCUCAUCAGCGUAGUAUCUGCGUCCCCCGCAGCCCUGCAUUAGGCGACGUGACUGACACCUGUUACGUGCAGUUCAUUUUCUCCCUCGUCUUCUCCUCAGUGGCCAUAUACGCUAUAUAGCGUAAACACACACACACCAGACACCCCUUGACGCACAAACACACACAGCUGGUCUCAAUUUCUCCGGCAGGGAGCAACGGGUACACCUCCCCACCAUAUUACCUAGCCCCCCCAACACAUAUGUGCACGCUCUAUUCACCCAGCACACUCACACAGCAGGGGGACACACAUGCACUCACUGUAUACCCUAGACACGAGCACACACCAUUUACCCUACCCAGAUGCCCCCUCCAAAGGUAUCCGCCACACACACAACCACAACACCUCUCCCUGUGCACUGGGCAGUACACAUACACCCACCCACCCACCACA